UGAACGCUGGCGGCGUGCCUACUACAUGCAAGUCGAGCGAACAGACGAGGAGCUUGCUCCUCUGACGUUAGCGGCGGACGGGUGAGUAACACGUGGAUAACCUACCUAUAAGACUGGGAUAACUUCGGGAAACCGGAGCUAAUAACGGAUAAUAUAUUGAACCGCAUGGUUCAAUAGUGAAAGACGGUUUUGCUGUCACUUAUAGAUGGAUCCGCGCCGCAUUAGCUAGUUGGUAAGGUAACGGCUUACCAAGGCAACGAUGCGUAGCCGACCUGAGAGGGUGAUCGGCCACACUGGAACUGAGACACGGUCCAGACUCCUACGGGAGGCAGCAGUAGGGAAUCUUCCGCAAUGGGCGAAAGCCUGACGGAGCAACGCCGCGUGAGUGAUGAAGGUCUUCGGAUCGUAAAACUCUGUUAUUAGGGAAGAACAAAUGUGUAAGUAACUAUGCACGUCUUGACGGUACCUAAUCAGAAAGCCACGGCUAACUACGUG
rnacentral:rRNA from 1 species